GAUGAACGCUGGCGGCGUGCCUAAUACAUGCAAGUCGAGCGAACAGACGAGGAGCUUGCUCCUCUGACGUUAGCGGCGGACGGGUGAGUAACACGUGGAUAACCUACCUAUAAGACUGGGAUAACUUCGGGAAACCGGAGCUAAUACCGGAUAAUAUAUUGAACCGCAUGGUUCAAUAGUGAAAGACGGUUUUGCUGUCACUUAUAGAUGGAUCCGCGCCGCAUUAGCUAGUUGGUAAGGUAACGGCUUACCAAGGCAACGAUGCGUAGCCGACCUGAGAGCGUGAUCGGCCACACUGGAACUGAGACACGGUCCAGACUCCUACGGGAGGCAGCAGUAGGGAAUCUUCCGCAAUGGGCGAAAGCCUGACGGAGCAACGCCGCGUGAGUGCUGAAGGUCUUCGGAUCGUAAAACUCUGUUAUUAGGGAAGAACAAAUGUGUAAGUACCUAUGCACGUCUUGACGGUACCUAAUCAGAAAGCCACGGCUAACUACGUG
rnacentral:rRNA from 1 species